CCCAGCGGCAGCAACUCCAGCAAGGGACUUUUCCCCAGGUCUGUUCUCUUCCCACAUACAGGGGAUGCCUUGGGUCCUUUUGAGUGGGUGUUCCCAUCACUCCCACAUCCAUCCAGACCAGCCUGUGGCCUUCUUCCCGUCACCCACCUUCUAAAGGUUCCUGUUGUUUACCCUGUCCCUGGACAUAAGCCCCAGAGAAGACAGUGGCGACAGGGUUUCAAGAAGCAGACUAUGAUACUCAAGCUGGAGAUCUUGCCCCUUCGUAGGUGUCUUCACCUGCAAGUGCCCUGGAGGACAUCUGAAGACCAUCGUGAGAACAGACAUCAUUUGCCAGCACCCCUGGACACAAGAACCUAGAAUUACCCUUUAACUUCUCACUCACCAGACAGGAUCCGACCUCGGAUGGAGACAUUGCCGGUGAAGGGGCAUUUCUUGUCUAUGUAGGUGCCCUCGAUGGCCUGUACGGAUAAGAAAGUGUGGUUUGGACUACCAUUUCCUAAACAGACCCAAGGAGGAAGCCUCAGGGACCCAAACUACAAUUCCCAGGGGCCCCAUGGGCAGCCACUCUGAAGAGGGCGGGGUGACUGUGCUUCCACAUGUGCAGGGCUGCAUGAACCUCAUCUGUUGGAGGGUCCUGUACCUCUUUGGGCGUCUUGAAUCCUAGACCGAUGUUUUUGUAGUACCGAGGGAGUUUUUCCUUGCCAGUUUCUCCCAGCAAAACACGCUUCUUGUUUUGAAAGAUUGUAGGCUGCUUUUGGUAAGCACGCUCUGUCUGUAGGGUGAGAUCACAGGUAAAGUUCGACAGACCAGAGAUAAUAUUUCUUCCUUUCUAACUUUUAUAAUAUUCACCCCGAAACGUCCAAACUGGCGGGCCGGCGCUCCACAAUCACCACAAACCUAGUUUAGCUUACUGCAUUCUGUCUACCAUCUCCACAGCUUGCAGAAUUCACAGCUGAGAUCAGAAGUAGCUUUUCAGCAGUACUGGUUCCCCCAAACACACAAAUUCACUCACUCAGGAUUCACAUCGUACGCACACGCAGCUGAGCCUGGUGGGCCAGAUCUGUCAUCCAGGUACUCGAAAGGUUGCGGCCGGAUGGCAAGUUUAAGACCUGACUAAGCUAGUUAAAGCCAGAUCUGCGCCAACAUUUAAAAUUACAGCACGGGGCUGUGGCUCUGCGGCAGAGCACUUGAUAGAGAGCACGAGGCCCGAGGCUCGAUUCCCAUCAAGGGAAAAGAUACUGCUUAAACUAGUCCCCAGGCUUGCCCUCAGGACUCCGGCCCCUCAGGACGCCUCUUCCCUCCGCAAACCAUCAUCCGUUAACGCCUAAGUUUUGAGAACUAACUCCCAAAGCGCUCGAGACCCCGUUACUGUGUAGCGUCCAGACCGCCAAGCCGCCUAUCAGAUGAAGGCACACGCAGGCACCUAGCUUCAGCUAAUUCGUAAGACAACGAGGACGCCAAGGAUAAGCUCCACACUGAAAAACCGAGAGAAAAUAGCUAAACGCUCGAACCUGAAUGUCCGCCAUCUUCCCGGCAGCUUGAGAAAAGGAAGGCUAGGCCCACUCCCGGCUUCCUUAUUCACCACGCGAGGUCUUGAGCGGAAGUGGCGUAGGGUCAGUCCCUUCCGGAAGUAGGAGGUACUUCCGGCGACAACACGCGCUUCUAGGACUAUUCGUACGCCGCCAUGAUGGUGUAGGACUAAGGGGCGGGAAGAGAAUCCUAUCAUCUCGCGAGAUUUCAGGGGUCCGCUGCCGAGUGUUCAUUUUGGCCGUAAAAGUGCAUCGUGUGGUAUCGCGAGAGUCGUAGGACGGAGUAAAGUGUCUUCUGCAGCUGGAUUCCCAGGGGUCUCGAGAGCCGCGUGGUGGUUCAUGUUUUCCAUGGAGAAACGAUGGUGCAGAGCGUGUCGCGGGAAAGUGGGUGAACUGCUUUACACCAACUAGCUUCCCAAUGAUGUCACGAGCAGCCAGAGUCGACUCAGCAAUUUCCUUUUAUUAAUAGCUUCUCCUUUGAUUAAAGGCUCACAGCCAUUUGCUGACUA